rnacentral:rRNA from 1 species
AUUGAACGCUGGCGGCAGGCUUAACACAUGCAAGUCGAGCGAGCGGCGGACGGGUGAGUAAUGUCUGGGAAACUGCCUGAUGGAGGGGGAUAACUACUGGAAACGGUAGCUAAUACCGCAUACCAUCCGAUGUUCCCUGAUGCCAUUCGCUAGUGGGUGGGGUAAUGGCUCACCUAGGCGACGAUCCCUAGCGGAUCUGAGAGGGUGACCGGCCACACUGGAACUGAGACACGGUCCAGACUCCUACGGGAGGCAGCAGUAGGGAAUAUUGCGCAAUGGGCGCAAGCCUGAUGGAGCCAUGACGCGUGUGUGAAGAAGGCCUUCGGAUUGUAAAACACUUUCAGCAGGGAGGCGGUAGACACAGAAGAAGCACCGGCUAACUCCGUGCCAGCCGCCGCGGUAAUAG